rnacentral:rRNA from 1 species
UACAGAGAGGGCAAGCGUUGUUCGGAAUUACUGGGCGUAAAGGGCGCGUAGGCGGCCUGUUAAGUCGAACGUGAAAUCCCCGGGCUCAACCCGGGAACUGCGUCCGAUACUGGCAGGCUUGAAUUCGGGAGAGGGAUGUGGAAUUCCAGGUGUAGCGGUGAAAUGCGUAGAUAUCUGGAGGAACACCGGUGGCGAAGGCGGCAUCCUGGACCGAUAUUGACGCUGAUGCGCGAAAGCCAGGGGAGCAAACGGG